CCUACGGGAGACAGCAGUGGGGAAUAUUGCACAAUGGGGGAAACCCUGAUGCAGCGACGCCGCGUGAGUGAAGAAGUAAUUCGUUAUGUAAAGCUCUAUCAGCAGGGAAGAAAAUGACGGUACCUGAGUAAGAAGCCCCGGCUAACUACGUGCCAGCAGCCGCGGUAAUACGUAGGGGGCAAGCGUUAUCCGGAUUUCCUGGGGGGAAAGGGAGCGUAGACGGCAGUGCAAGUCUGGAGUGAAAGGCGGGGGCUCAACCCCCGGACUGCUCUGGAAACUGUACGGCUGGAGUGCAGGAGAGGUAAGUGGAAUUCCUAGUGUAGCGGUAAAAUGCGUAGAUAUUAGGAGGAACACCAGUGGUGAAGGCGGCUUACUGGACUGUAACUGACGUUGAGGCUCGAAAGCGUGGGGAGCAAACAGGAUUAGAUACCCCAGUAGUC
rnacentral:rRNA from 1 species